AUACCAGAGCUGAGUGACCAGAGCCAGAAGUUGCGCCGCUUGAAGUGCCUCGUCCUGUCGCUGCCGCCACCCAACCUGGACACCAUGCGGGAGCUCUUCCGACACCUGUGCAGCGUUAUUGACCGGCGCGAGUCGAAUCGAAUGUCUGUGCAGAGCGUCGCCAUCGUGUUUGGGCCGACGCUGCUGAGACCGGCGGAGGAGGGCGGCAAUAUCGCCAUGUACAUGGUCUUCCAGAACAAGAUUGUAGAGCAGAUCCU